UCACGUCUGUUGCCGGUGGGCGGGGCGUAAUGUGCAGUUCUGACCCUUAUUUGAGAACCCAUUGAAAGUGAGCAUCUGUCCAGAAUUAUUGGUCUCAAAGGGUUGGAACUUUCUAAACUUAGUUUUCCAUCAGAAAGUUUGAAGACAACUUCUCAAGAUACCAGUUGGCCCUGGGUCGUUGUGUUAUGUUUUGAGGCUAAUCCAGCAGGACACAGUUCAAAUGACCUAAUAAAUGGUGUGUAUUGUGAUUGCAAUGUCCUCAUCCUUCACAGAAAGAGGACCUGAAAAAAAAAAUGACUGGUGUUAAAGGAAAAUGAAGAAAACAAAAGGAGUACAAUCUCCUUUCCUCAUUUCGGCUCUCCAGCUGCCUGCCCGGGGCCACCCGCCAGGUGCAUGACCUCCUGGACUGUGUGCCACCAGAUCCAGUAAGGACCCAAGGACCCCACAGGAGGUCUCUCCAGAUGCCUGCCCGGGCCCGCCCUGCAGGGAUACUACCUCCCGGACUGCAUACCACCAGAUCCAGUCACAAUAUUGUCCAGUUAGCCUUGAACUCACAAUCCUCC